rnacentral:rRNA from 1 species
AGAAAUUAGAGUUUAAUGUUAGCUCAGAAUGAACGCUAUCUAGAAGCAUUACACAUGCGAAUCACCGUUAACGGUGGUGUACGGGUGAGUAUCCAUAGAAAUCUACCCAUUUUCCAAUGGAUGAGUCUAUCCAGGGGGAGGUAGUUGGUAAGAUAAUAGCUUACCAAGCCGAAGAACCCUAGUCAAGUUUGAAAGAACCUCUGACCACAUUGGCUCUGAAACAACAGCCAAGAUUCUCUUUUAGAGAAUCCAGCAGUGAGGAAUCUUGGUCAAUGAUCGAAAGAUUGAACCAGCUAUCUAGAAGAAUCUUUUCAGAUUCUAAACAAAGAGAGGAUGAUGACGUUAUCUUUGUAGAAGUCUCGACCCAAUCUCGUGCCAGCCGUCGCGGUAAUACGAGUGAGGCAAGCGUUAUUCAUCAUUAUUAGGUCUAAAGGGUGAGUAGGUGGUUUUACCAAAACUAGAGUCGAAUGGAAGAAUAAAGAAUUUGGAGAGUAGAGAUGAAAUUCAAUGAUACUCCAAGGACUGCUCAUGGCGAAAGCAUUAUUCUAAUUGACGACUGACACUGAGGUACGAAAGCAUAAGUAGCGAAAAGGAUUAGAUACCCUUGUAGUUUAUGCUGUAAACGAUGAAUGCUAGAAAUUAGAAGGAAUCUCUUUUAGUUUCUGUGGUGAAGACUUUAAGCAUUCCACCUGAGAAGUACUAUCGCAAGAUUGAAACUCAAAACAUUAGACGGUCACAGAGACCAGCAGUGAAGCAUGUUGUUUAAUUCGAUAACCCACGACAAAUCUUACCACUUCUUGCAUAAUAGAUUUAUCUAUUACAGGUGUUGCAUGGCUGUCUUUAGUUCGUGUUGUGAAAUGUAAGGUUCAUUCCGAGAACGAACGCAAUCCUUAUCUUUAAUUAAAUUCUUUAAAGAAGUAUCUUUCGAUAAGAAGGAAUAAUUAGGAUGAAGACAAGUCCUCAUGACCCUUAUGGAGUGGGCUACAGACGUGCCGCAAAAAUUUCUACAAUGGGAAGCAAAGAUCCAAGUCCGAGCCAAUCCUUAAAAGAAAUUAAAGUACGGAUAAGAAUCUGGAACUCGAUUCUUUGAAGAAGGAAUUGCUAGUAAUCGUUCAUCAUCAAGGAACGGUGAAACAAAUAUCUGUGAUGUACUAACUACUCGUCAAGCGCAAAAAUCAUUAGGGGAUAUCAAGUUUUGAACGUCUAUCCCUUAGAAAUUUGUGCUAAGUCGAAAUAAGGUAGCUGUAGGGGAACCUGUAGCUGAAAGAUUAAAUAA